UUUCUACUCCCUCCGUCCGAAAAUACUUGUCAUCAAAAUGGAUAAAAAGAUAUGUAUCUAAAACUAAAAUACGUCUAGAUACAUUUCCUUUUAUCCAUUUUGAUGACAAGUAUUUCCGGACGGAGGGAGUAUUUA
rnacentral:pre_miRNA from 1 species